GAAAUGCGAUAAGUAAUGUGAAUUGCAGAAUUCAGUGAAUCAUCGAAUCUUUGAACGCACCUUGUGCUCCUUGGUAUUCCUUGGAGCAUGCCUAUUUGAGUAUCAUGAAAUCUUCAAAGUAAAUCUUUUGUUAACUCAAUUGGUUUCUACUUUGGUAUUGGAGGUCUUUGCAGCUUCACACCUGCUCCUCUUUGUUCAUUAGCUGGAUCUCAGUGUUAUGCUUGGUUCCACUCGGCGUGAUAAGUUAUCUAUCGCUGAGGACACUGUAAAAGGUGGCCAAGGUAAAUGCAGAUGAACCGCUUCUAAUAGUCCAUUGACUUGGACAAUACUUUUAUGAUCUGAUCUCAAAUCAGGUAGGACUACCCGCUGAACUUAAGC
rnacentral:misc_RNA from 1 species